ACUCAAAAUGACCGCGCCAACCCCAGACAAGGCUUUUCACUGUGAAAGAGGCUGUAUCUACGUUGGUUGGUGAUGUAGAUUCGGAAACGAUCGAAUCGUUUAAAAAGCGAUGAUGUCGAGGUCAGUGAAAGCAAAGGAAGUGAUGUGGAGAGUCCGGGCUAUCUUUAAAAGGAAGAGUCCUAAUAACCAAGGCUGAAGGGAAGUGGACAAGCAAAUUGCACAGAGAAAUUAAACAAGACCUUCAUACUUCAAGAGGGCAAACCGUCAGAAGAUGAAACAAGACGAAUACGACUAUGACAUCUUCAUCGCCCCAAAGGACGCCAUCUAUUUCAUCCAUGGCCAGGUGACGAUGGCAGAAGGGAAGGGGAAAGUCUACCUGUUUUGGAAACUCAAAAGCAGCCGUAAGAUCAAAACCAACAACGGAACCUGUCCUGAGAUCACCUUCGCUACGGAGGUCAAGUUGUUGAAAGGUGGUCGGGUUUACCUCGUCUUCAACACGGGCAAACCCAAACUGAAAGAGAGCACUUUCUCAGUCUACGAGCUCGUCGAGCAGUGACCGGACUGAAACAGUACAGUCUAUGAGCUCGUCGAGCAGUGACCGGACUGAAACAGUACAGUCUACGAGCUCGUCGAGCAGUGACCGGACUGAAACAGUACAGUCUACGAGCUCGUCGAGCAGUGAUCGGACUGAAACAGUACAGUCUACGAGCUCGUCGAGCAGUGGCCGGACUGAAACAGUACAGUCUACGAGCUCGUCGAGCAGUGACCGGACUGAAACAGUACAGUCUACGAGCUCGUCGAGCAGUGACCGGACUGAAACAAACACGAGCUCGUCGAGCAGUGACCGGACUGAAACAGUACAGUCUACGAGCUCGUCGAGCAGUGACCGGACUGAAACAGUACAGUCUACGAGCUCGUCGAGCAGUGACCGGACUGAAACAGUACAGUCUACGAGCUUGUCGAGCAGUGACCGGACUGAAACAGUACAGUCUAGAAGUGUUAUGCCACACUCUGUAAGAUACCGUUAGAGUUAACAACAAAACAUAAACAAUGGAGCUGAUACAUUUCUACACGCAACUUAAAAUCGUAACGUUUGCUUAAAAGAAUCGGGCAGUAAAUACCGGUACAUUACAUGCAUACGUGUUCACUUGUGUACAAUAAUUAUACAUUGAUUGUACAAAACAUUAGGAGCACCUUCCUUAUAUUGAGUUGCACCCCCUUUUGCCUUCAGAACAGCCUCAAUUCGUUGGGGCAUUUAACUCUACAAGGUGUUGAAAGCAUUCCACAGGGAUGCUGGCCCAUGUUGACUCAUGCUUCCCACAGAUGUGUCAAGUUGGCUGGAUGUCAUUUGGAUGGUGGACCAUUCUUGAUACACACAAGAAAAAUUUGAGUGUGAAAAACCCAGCAGCGUUGCAGUUCACCCUCUGAAUGGCACACAUACGCAAUCAAUGUCUCAAUUGUCUCAAGGCUUAAAAAUCAUUCUUUAACCUGUCUUCUCCCCUUCAGCUACACUGAUUGAAGUGGAUUUAACAAGUGACAUCAAUAAGGGAUUAUAGCUUUCACCUGGGUUCACCUGGUCAGUCUAUGUCAUGGAAAGAGCAGGUGUUCCUAAUGUUUUGUACACUCAGUGUAUGUGUAUACUGGUAUCGUUAUUGUAUGUUAUCAGAAUGUUAGGGGACAGGGAAUCCCAAGAAAGAAAUGCAUACCUUAUAUUUUCUACAAUAUUUUAGUUGUAAAACGUAUUGAUCAACCAGGAAGUUACAAAGUGAUUAAAUGUAAUAAUAGGAUGGUGGAAUAUGAUUGUAUGUAAAUAUGUUGUCUAUGUAAUUAUAUUGUGGUCCUCUGUAGGUCAGUUGGUAGAGCAUUUGUCUUGCAAAGCCAGGAUAGUGGGUUCGAUUCCCAGGACCACCCAUACUAAAAACAUAUAUGCACGUAAGUCGCUUUAGCUAAAUGGCAUGAUAUAAGAGGACUCUUUUAUUAUCUAAGGAAGUCUGAUCUUGCACUGUAUUAUUUUAACCCAGUGCUUUCCCUGUUAUAGUGAAUGUUCUGAAUAUUUACUAUGCUUUGGAUCAAAUAAAGUAUUUCAUAUGAAAAAACUG
ensembl:lncRNA